CACAGAGAUCUGACUGCCUCUGCCUCCCGAGUGUGUGGCUUGAUAAUCUUAAAGAGAGUUCACUCCAGGGUUUGCUGAAGGAAGCAGAGCAGAUUUUCAAUAAGCAAG